GCUGGGCACAGUGGCACAUGCCUGUAAUCCCUGCAGCUCAGGAGGCUGAGGCAGGAGUAUUGCAAGUUUGAGGCCAGCCUCAGCAACUUAGUGAGGCUGUAAGCAACUUAAGGAGAUCCUGUCUCAA
rnacentral:sRNA from 1 species